rnacentral:miRNA from 1 species
CAUUCCUCUUCCUAAAAUGG